AAUCCAUAGGUUAAUGAGGCGAACCGGGGGAACUGAAACAUCUAAGUACCCCGAGGAAAAGAAAUCAACCGAGAUUCCCCCAGUAGCGGCGAGCGAACGGGGAGGAGCCCAGAGCCUGAAUCAGCAUGUGUGUUAGUGGAAGCGUCUGGAAAGGCGCGCGAUACAGGGUGACAGCCCCGUACACAAAAGCGCAUGUGCUGUGAGCUCGAUGAGUAGGGCGGGACACGUGGUAUCCUGUCUGAAUAUGGGGGGACCAUCCUCCAAGGCUAAAUACUCCUGACUGACCGAUAGUGAACCAGUACCGUGAGGGAAAGGCGAAAAGAACCCCGGCGAGGGGAGUGAAAAAGAACCUGAAACCGUGUACGUACAAGCAGUGGGAGCACCCUUUGGGUGUGACUGCGUACCUUUUGUAUAAUGGGUCAGCGACUUAUAUUCUGUAGCAAGGUUAACCGAAUAGGGGAGCCGGAGGGAAACCGAGUCUUAACCGGGCGUUAAGUUGCAGGGUAUAGACCCGAAACCCGGUGAUCUAGCCAUGGGCAGG
rnacentral:rRNA from 1 species